UCAACACACAACAUAAAAAUAAAAAGCAUAAAAUAAAAACUUACAAUUUAAAAACAAAAACAUCCAAUUUAAAACUAGAUCCCGCUAGAGUUGAAAGCCAAAUAAAAUAGAUGGGUUUUAAGACGAGCUUUAAAAGUGGACAGUGAAGGGGCCUCCCUGACCUGCAAAGGCAAGUUGUUCCAUAAUUUGGGGCCCAUGACAGAGAAAGCCCUGUCCCCUCUGAGCUUCCUUCUUGAUCUCGGUACCUCCAAAAGCAGCUGAUCUGCAGACCUAAGAGACCGAUAAGGUAUAUAUGGGUGAAGAAGCUCAGAGAGGUAAGCCGGGGCAAGAUUAUUUAAUGAUUUAAAAACAAACAUAAGAAUUUUAAAAUGAAUCCUAAAAUAUACAGGCAGCCAGUGAAGUGAGGCCAGGACAGGGGUCACGUGUUCCCUCUUUCGAGUUCCUUUUCCAACGAAAAGUGU